rnacentral:rRNA from 1 species
CCUACGGGAGGCAGCAGUGAGGAAUAUUGCUCAAUGGACGAGAGUCUGAUCCAGCCAAGUCGCGUGAAGGAUGACUGACCUAUGGGUUGUAAGCUUCUUCUAUAUGGGAAUAAAACAGGGUAUGCAUACCCUCUUGUAUGUACCAUAUGAAUAAGGAUCGGCUCACUCCGUGCCAGCAGCCGCGGUAAUACGGAGGAUCCGAGCGUUAUCCGGAUUUAUUGGGUUUAAAGGGAGCGUAGGUGGAUUGGUAAGUCAGUUGUGAAAGUUUGCGGCUCAACCGUAAGAUUGCAGUUGAAACUGGCAGUCUGGAGUGCAGUAGAGGUAGGCGGAAUUCGUGGUGUAGCGGUGAAAUGCUUAGAUAUCACGAAGAACUCCGAUUGCGAAGGCAGCUCACUGGACUGCAACUGACACUGAUGCUCGAAAGUGUGGGGAGCAAACAGGAUUAGAUACCCCAGUAGUC